ACCCGGGCGGCGAGCGGCGAACGGGUGAGUAAUGCAUCGGAACGCGUCCUCCUGUGGGGGAUAACCAGUCGAAAGACUGGCUAAUACCGCAUGAGCUCGAGAGAGGAAAGCGGGGGAUCCGCGAGGACCUCGCGCGAGAGGAGCGGCCGAUGUCCGAUUAGCUAGUUGGUAGGGUAACGGCCUACCAAGGCGACGAUCCGUAGCUGGUCUGAGAGGACGAUCAGCCACACUGGAACUGAGGCACGGUCCAGACUCCUACGGGAGGCAGCAGUGGGGAAUUUUGGACAAUGGGCGCAAG
rnacentral:rRNA from 1 species